CCUACGGGAGGCAGCAGUAGGGAAUUUUCGUCAAUGGGCGCAAGCCUGAACGAGCGAUGCCGCGUGAGUGAAGAAGGCCUUCGGGUCGUAAAGCUCUGUUGCGGGGGAAAAAAGGCAGCAUCAGGAAAUGGGUGCUGCCUGAUGGUGCCCCGACAGAAAGUCACGGCUAACUACGUGCCAGCAGCCGCGGUAAUACGUAGGUGGCGAGCGUUAUCCGGAAUGAUUGGGCGAAAAGGGGGCGCAGGCGGUCCUGCAAGUCUGGGGUGAAACGCAUGAGCCCAACCGAUGCGUGGCUUUGGAAACUGGAGGACUGGAGAGCAGGAGAGGGAGGUGGAACUCCAUGUGUAGCGGUGAAAUGCGUAGAGAUAUGGAAGAACACCAGUGGCGAAGGCGGCCGCCUGGCCUGUUGCUGACGCUGAGGCACGAAAGCGUGGGGAGCAAAUAGGAUUAGAUACCCGAGUAGUC
rnacentral:rRNA from 1 species